CGACUUCCGCGGGCAGCUGGGGCUCCUCGGUGAUGGGAAUCGGCCCCGGAGCACUUCCUUGGGCAGCCCCUCCUGCUCCUCCCGGGUGUGAUAAUCAGCAAGCAUUAAAAGGAAAACUACAAUUCUUCAGGAAUCAGGAUCAUUUCACCAACCUAGCCUGGUGUGCUUGACUUGCCUGCCAGUGCUUCCAGGGCUGCACAGGGGAAGACACUCGCCUGCCAUUGGCACACAUGGGCCCUUCUUGGUCUCCAGGAGUGUGCCAGAGAAGGGAAGUCUGCCUAUACCAGCAGCUCAGCAACUCCUGCCUCUGCACACACCUUGCCUUCACGGAUAGUACAGGCUGCAGAAAUAGCCUCGAAAUUUUCUCAUGGAACAUGCAAAGGACAAAAGAGCCUGAUAGGCAGAAAACAUGAAAUGCAACAUUAAAUUUAUUUUGGAGCAGAAUAGGCAGAAAAAGAAAACACAAGAUGGAUGGAACAACAGAGCUUCAAAGUCUGAGGAUAGUGUUUCCAACCUGGACUGGGCUUAGUCCUGGGUUUGUGUUUCUAGCCUUUGCUAUAGAACGCUGCCAUGCUAGAGGGACAGGCACUUGCCCUGCCUCCAGUCCCCAGGGUUCCACAAAUGAACUUCUGAAGACAUAGAGCUCAACUCACUUUCAAGAACUUCAGUUUUGAAACCAAGAGUAAACUCAUGCUAGUGUCAAGGUCAAGAUCAAACCCAUUUCUUGUAUUUCUGAGAAGAAUCAAAGCAAUUUAAGCCCAAACGCUUCCACCACAGAAACAGUGGAAAAAAGAAAUGGUGCAAGAUGUCAAGAGUGUUCCUUAGAGCACAGCAGACAGGUCCUGCUCCCUGCAUUCCAGGUCAGUAGCAUGUAGCAAUGACAGCUUCAUUUGUCUUUCUCAGUGAGAGAACUACCAGGGGUGGUUGUCUCUAGUAAGUGGGGUUCAUUUUUAUACGUUCAGUUUUCCCCAAUAGGCUGAAUUUUCUAUCAUUUUUCAGGUACACCAUCAAAGCUGGAUUCUGGGCCUUACGAAAUAAUUGAGGUCUGAAAUGAGAAACUAGAGUUUGUUGGCAGGCCUGAAAGCAGAUCAAAGCUGAGCCUGGAAA
rnacentral:lncRNA from 13 species